UCAAGUGCCUUAAGGGUGUUCGGUGGAUGCCUUGGCGCUGAGAGGCGAUGAAGGACGUGCUACGCUGCGAUAAGCCGUGGGGAGCUGCGAAGAAGCUUUGAUCCGCGGAUUUCCGAAUGGGGAAACCCACCUUCGAUAGCCGGAACUCUAAGAUCAUCAUCAUGCGAAUGAUGGUGGGCUUGGAUUUCCGGUUAUCAAGCGAAGGUACAAGACUCCUGAAUACAUAGGGGGUUUUGAGCGAACCCAGGGAACUGAAACAUCUAAGUACCUGGAGGAAAGGACAUCAACCGAGACUCCGCUAGUAGUGGCGAGCGAACGCGGACCAGGCCAGUGAUACAUCAAAGACAACCGGAACCAGUCAGGAAAGCUGGGCCUUAGAGGGUGAUAGCCCCGUACGGGUAAUGCAAAGAUGUAUCCUUGAGUAAGGCGGGACACGUGAAAUCCUGUCUGAACAUGGGGGGACCACCCUCCAAGCCUAAGUACUCCUCAGCGACCGAUAGUGAACCAGUACCGUGAGGGAAAGGUGAAAAGCACCCCGACGAGGGGAGUGAAAUAGACCUGAAACCGGACACCUACAAACAGACGGAGCCCAAGAUGCGUUCUGGGUGACGUCGUACCUUUUGUAUUAUGGGCCAGCGACUUAAUUUAACGAGCAAGCUUAAGCCGAUAGGCGUAGGCGCAGCGAAAGCGAGUCUGAAUAGGGCGUCAAGUUCGUUGUAUUAGACCCGAAACCUAGUGAUCUAGCCAUGAGCAGGUUGAAGGUGAGGUAACACUCACUGGAGGACCGAACGGGUGUCUGUUGAAAAAGACUCCGAUGACUUGUGGUUAGGGGUGAAAGGCCAAUCAAACUGGGAAAUAGCUGGUUCUCCGCGAAAGAUAUUUAGGUAUCGCCUCGGAUGAAUACCUCAGGGGGUAGAGCACUGGAUGGGCUAGGGGGACUUACCGUCUUACCAAACCCAACCAAACUCCGAAUACCUGAGAGUACUAUCCGGGAGUCACACGGCGGGUGCUAACGUCCGUCGUGGAGAGGGAAACAACCCGGACCUACAGCUAAGGCCCCCAAUUCGUGGCUAAGUGGGAAAGGAUGUGGAAAUCCCAAAACAACCAGGAGGUUGGCUUAGAAGCAGCCAUCCUUUAAAGAAAGCGUAACAGCUCACUGGUCUAAAUAAGGGUUUCUGCGCCGAAGAUGUAACGGGGCUCAAGCCACGAGCCGAAGCUUAGGGUGUGCGCGCAAGCGUACGCGGUAGCGGAGCGUUCUGUAAGCCUGCGAAGGGCGACCCGUGAGGGCGCCUGGAGGUAUCAGAAGUGCGAAUGCUGGCAUGAGUAACGACAAACACUGUGAAAGACAGUGUCGCCGAAAGUCCAAGGGUUCCUGCGUAAAGUUAAUCUUCGCAGGGUUAGCCGGUCCCUAAGGCGAGGCCGAAAGGCGUAGUCGAUGGGAAUCACGCAAAUAUUCGUGAGCCAGUGGAUGGUGACGAAUCCCUUAUGUUGUCUGACCUUACUGGAUUGGUCAGGCCUCGACGGGGUUCCAGGAAAUAGCCUCCACAUCAGACCGUACCCGAAACCGACACAGGUGGACUGGUAGAGUAUACCAAGGCGCUUGAGAGAACUAUGUUGAAGGAACUCGGCAAUUUACCUCCGUAACUUCGGGAUAAGGAGGCCUUCUGUUUGCGCAAGCAGGCAGAAGGGGCACAGACCAGGGGGUGGCAACUGUUUAACAAAAACACAGGGCUCUGCGAAAUCGCAAGAUGACGUAUAGGGUCUGACGCCUGCCCGGUGCCGGAAGGUUAAGAGGAGGAGUGCAAGCUCUGAAUUGAAGCCCCGGUAAACGGCGGCCGUAACUAUAACGGUCCUAAGGUAGCGAAAUUCCUUGUCGGGUAAGUUCCGACCUGCACGAAUGGCGUAAUGA
rnacentral:rRNA from 1 species